CUAUUGUACUAAGUGGAUGGUGUUUCUUAAUAUUCUUGCAUUUUUACGGUAACAUCCUAUUUACAAAUCAUAUUUGUUUGCACAUUCACGGUUGACAUCCUAUUCACAGAUCAUGCUAUUUAUGGUAGGAAAAUCUUAAAUUGUUGCCUUUUUGUUACUUAUUAGUUUUCAUAUUUUUUCUCUCCAUUGUCCAUUUCAUGACUGUUAAAGACCAGGAGCAUGCAAAAAUAUAGAAAUGGCAUAACAAUUCGUCGACAUACUUGAUUUUGCUAGCUGAGAGAACAAGUGGAUGAAAAACUGGAUGCUGUGGACCUUUUCUUUCAUUGCUUGCACAAGUGGAUGUUAUGCUCAAUAGUACGGAUGUUGUUUUAAUCUGGUAUUAACAAACUUAUCUAUGUUAUGGAUCGUUAACCCAGAAUAUAGAGAUAUUUAUGCUCCAUGUAUACAUGAUAAUUCUGUUGUAUGUGGACAUUGUUCCAUUUUGAGGAUAUAACCCACUUAGAUGUCAACUUUGAAGCAGUAACGACACUUACAUAGUUGAUAUUGAAAAUAAUUUUAGCAUAUGGCCAAGCAAACAUAAAUAUCCCUACCACCAAAUCACCCUCAAACCUGCUCGCGCCCUUUUUCUUAUUAACAAAAGAAAUAAUAUAGCCAUACACACACAUCUUGACGGGCACGGCGUACCGCCGCGCUUCUGCCUACUAGUUUUUAUAGUAAGCCAUAUGAUAUGCUAGUGUUAUCCUCACCGCAGUCGAUGUCUGGUAAUCUUCUACUUAUUAUAUCUUUAGGAUCACAACCACUCACAAAUUUGAACAUGAACAAUGAUUGAUGAAUGCUUGCUGCUUGUACUGCUUGCUGUUAGGUAGCAUGGCAUGGGUGGACGAGGAUCAAUCUAGCACUUGAUAAAAGAGACACCAAAUGGGACAAUAUUCUCUAUUCUGAUAUCUUUCUCAUUAAAUUUCUGUCUUAACACUAUAUUAUGUCAUAUUUUUGUUUUAUUUUAUAUAUACGCGUCGUAUCCCUGAAAGCUUGUUUUGUAAAAUGUGGUAUCAUGUGUCCCCGUAUGUGUAUCCCUGUCUUCCUGUCCCCGUGUCCUUGCUUUUUCGAUUCUGACAGCUAUAUUAUUUGCAUUGCUAACAUAUGUUGGUAUAUAUUUCGGAUCCUACGCUACUUAUUUACAUCAUAGAAUAAUUUGUCAUGUUAAUAUUUUGGAUGCUGGCAUAUGUGUCAGCUUACAUCCAUAUUUGUUUUGCCUUAUGCCGAAACUACUGGAUACUUUACAUCAAACUAGACCAAGUAUGUCCCUUUAUUGCUUUAGACAUUCGUUAUCUUCCUGCUGUUAUUAUACCAGGCGAUAGAGGUUCAUUGGUUUCUUUAAAGGUGACAUGCCUUGAUAUAUUUAUUACUCUGUAGAGUGCGUAAAGUUUUUUAUGACUAUUUGGUGCUUUUAUCCAACAAGGCACUAAAUUCUUUUGUAGGGACAAAUGGCAGAAAAUAGCAUGGUUGACACCUUUUAUUCAUACGGAGGUUGAUGUUGGCUUGGCGAUCGAAGACUUGGUCUCUCCCUUGAUAUUUUGUAGCAGUGAAGUGAUCAAACAUUUGGUUGUUGGGGAACAUUGCAUGGGAAACAAUAAAUUUCCUACGCACAAGAAGACCUAUCAUGGAAUGUUCAUCUACGAGAGGGAGAUCGGAUCUACAUAGCCUUGUAGAUCGCUAAGCGGGAAGCGUUAAGAAACGUGGUUGAUGUAGUGGAACAACUUCGUGAUUCAAAUCACCAUCGUCCCACGAUCCGCCCCGAUCUAGCACCGAACGGACGACACCUCUGCAUUCAGCACACGUACAGCUCGAUGACGAUCUCCGCCUUCUUGAUCCAGCAAGAGAGAGGGGGAAGUAGAUGAGUUUCUCCGGCAGCGUGACAGCGUGCCGGUGAUGGUGAUGAUCUAUUCCUGCAGGGCUCCGCCCAAGCUCCGCAGGAAUCCGAUCUAGAGGAAGAACUAUGAAGUAGAGGUUUAGGGUUGCACGUGGCAAAGUUGUGUCUCAAAAACCCUAAAACCUCUAGUAUAUAUAGGAGGAGGG
rnacentral:lncRNA from 1 species